rnacentral:lncRNA from 1 species
UCAACUGAGUGUUAACAUCAGCCAAAAACAGAUCACCUUUCUUUGUUCCGGAUGAAGUAAUAGCCUGCGGAAGGACACAAAGGUUAUCUUACCGAAUAAUCCUAACAGCAGGAGACCGAAGUAGAUAAAAAAUAAGAUGAUGAAGUAAUAGCCUGCCGAAGAACACAAAGGUUAUCUAACCAAACAAGCCUAACAGGUAGGAGACCGAAGUAGAUAAAAAAAAAUAAGAGCGAGUCAAUAAGCAACAUGCAGCAGUAAAUUGCACUUGUAAUCCGAGGGCAGUACAUCCAAUAAUCAAACAGAUUUGUUUCAACAAAAAGGAGAGAGAGCAAUCAGCCUGAAGCAAAAUAAUUGUCACAACUACCUUCCUAUCAAUCCAUAAAAAUGAGGUGAAAUUACCAAUCCUGGUAAAAUAUUUGCCAAUCCAAAAGUUUCACAAGCAUAU